GUGGGGAAUCUUGCGCAAUGGGCGAAAGCCUGACGCAGCCAUGCCGCGUGAAUGAUGAAGGUCUUAGGAUUGUAAAAUUCUUUCACCGGGGACGAUAAUGACGGUACCCGGAGAAGAAGCCCCGGCUAACUUCGUGCCAGCAGCCGCGGUAAUACGAAGGGGGCUAGCGUUGCUCGGAAUUACUGGGCGUAAAGGGCGCGUAGGCGGACAGUUUAGUCAGAGGUGAAAGCCCAGGGCUCAACCUUGGAAUUGCCUUUGAUACUGGCUGUCUUGAGUACGGGAGAGGUGAGUGGAACUCCGAGUGUAGAGGUGAAAUUCGUAGAUAUUCGGAAGAACACCAGUGGCGAAGGCGACUCACUGGCCCGUUACUGACGCUGAGGCGCGAAAGCGUGGGGAGCAAACAGGAUUAGAAACCGUGUAGUCC
rnacentral:rRNA from 1 species